GACAGAUGACAAUCAGAUCUAUGUUAAAAAUAGACAAUUAAAAGAAGGUGACAUCGCGUACGUGUGUCGUAUCAAAGACUGCAAAGCUCGGGUUUAUCUAAGUGCGGAUAAGACUCGCGUUUAUUCGAAGACGGAGCAAGUGCAGCAUUUUCAUGGUCCGCAGGGCCAGGAAAUGCAGAAAAUUGAAGUGCUGUCUGAAGUUAAAAAAAAGUGUCAAAGUAGCUCCAAUAAUGACACCAAAAAAGUUUUUAAUGAUGUUUUGGCUGAAAAAACGGAAGGACAAGCGGAGAUCGAAGUCAAUUACGACACUGUCAAACGCACUCUGCAAAGAAAGAGGCAACCCUUUCUACCCAAAUCUCCAACUUCCGCAGUGGACGUACUUGAAGCAUUUAAAGAUGAAAACAUCAUGAGUCGUUUUGGGAUGACCAAGGGCAGUUCUCCAAAUGUUUUUUUUUAAAAACUUUACAUGUCUGGAUCAUUUGCAUAUUGCAUAUUUUCGUCGGACAAGGUCAUUACUUUGAUGCAAGCAAAUAUUGAGGAGCAGAGUCGGCAUUUUUUAAUUGAUGCUACAUUCAAAGUAUGCCCGUUUGGAGAUUUUAAGCAACUACUUAUUAUUUACAUAAAGCAUAUGCAGAAGGUAUGUGUUUUACUUCAGUUUAAUUUAAUGUCAAAAUUAAUUUGUUUUUAUUAUUAUGUAGAUCACCCCAUUCUUAUUUGUCUUAGUGACGCGCAAAACGGAGCUCUGUUAUCAGCAUUUAUUCACCUAUGAAGAUUCAAAUAUUUGUUGCUUAUCAUUUAUUUCCGACUACGAAACAGCGAUGCGGAACGCCUUAAAAAACUUGCAUCCUUCCAUGAAUUUUUAUUCUUGCUGGUUCCAUUUUACUCAAGCAUGCAAGAGAAAUGCAAGAAAAACAUAUGGUCUAGAAAAAAUGCUUAAAUGCAAUAAACCGGCUUAUCUUUUAUUUAUGAAAUUCUUGUACUUGCCGCUAUUAUCGGAUACCAAUGAACUAUAUGGAGAUGUUCGAGAAAGGCGAAAUCGAUAUUCAGGUGUUCUUGGCACGGACUGUCGGUCUAAAUGAAACAUUUUCAAAACAAGAUCUUUUUUCUGGAAUGUGUUCCGACCUAAACUCUUCCACAUCAUCGUCAUCACGUUCAUCAAAUUUAAGCCAACUCUCGGAUUCGUUAUUUAUACAACAAAAUCCUUGUAAUGUAUGCUUAAUGAAUCCGAAAUCUGUAAUGCUUCGCCCCUGUAACCAUGUCAACAUAUGUAGUACAUGCUGGGACCAACUUGUCGAUAACCACGAACAAAAUGGAAUUGAAACUAAUACCAAAUGCCCGACCUGCCAACAGGAAGUCGAAGAGGCUAUAAAAAAUGUAUAUAUAUAUAACUAAAUAAAUUUAAACAAUGUAA